UACACAUAAAAAGUGUUUUGGUUCCACAAACACGAUAAUAAGCGUGCUCUUAAAAAAAUAAAAACGGAUCAUCAUGUUUAUCCUGUAUAUAGUAGCCCAAUAGUAGUCAUACACUUGAAAAGUGCUUUAAAAUUCACCUUUUUGGGAAGCAUUUUCACUCCAAUAGAUAAUAGUUUUCGACCACGUGACUACAUCCGGGACACCUGGCCGUGUUGGAUGGGUUCACCAUACUGAAGCGCUGUUCACUCUCAUGCUUUUGCAUAUAGACCGGAGUUACACAAAUGUUCUUACGACUGUUAGAAGUGACGCAUGAUGGCUAAAAAGACUUUGGAAAGUUAUCGGUGCUCAUUAGAUGUUGUUUCAAGAAACCGUUACGAAAAGAAGUGUGUUUUGAUCGACAAUAUUGACCCAGAUGCCUUGGAGAAACACAAACGGAGCACACAACAGUGGUCGUCGGUAGCCUAUCCAGACAUCGUCCACUAUUUCCUCUUCUCGGCAAGCCCUUACACCGUGGACCAACGACAGAAUGACAAAGGUUUGGAGGCCUACAACCAAUUAAUGGGUUCGUCAUGCGGCGGUAUCCAUUGUAAGCAACCUGUCUCCCCACACUGCUAAGAAGUCUGAAAUGUUUCAAGGAUUACCUAUAUAAGGGCGAGAAAGACGGACAAGGAGGCUUCUUCUAACGACUUCGAACUGACUCCCGCUGCCCUGGGAAACUACGCUGCUCGGAACACUAACUACACGGACGCCUGCUGCCUUUCGUUUUUGGACCGGCUGGAACUUUCGCUAACUUGGAAUAGCCACUGGGACGAACAUUUGCUUGUUUGGGGACAUUCGUUCAACAUUGGUGAUGAUUCGCCGUCGUGGUUCAACUACUCUGUUCUUCAACAGCUAUUUUGUGUUAGCUAUUUUAUCAUGUUUGUGUCGUGUUGAUGAGCGUGCGAUUAAAUUGUCAGAAACGUAAUACGACUGACUGGCUUGUCGCAUUUUGCCGGUUUGAACAAAGGGAACGUUUGUCUAAAUUUGCAUGUAACAUAAUCCUCGCCCAGUACAUUUGUAAAGAAAAUACCAUUUGGUACAUACAUAUGCUGCAGUCGUGUAAAAGCCGCAAGUGCCCUCAUUGAAACCCAAAUUGAAACACGUACACAGAGAGUUUAACGCUAGCGUCCCCAUGCUAAUGCUAACCCCAGCGCCGCGCUAACAGGGCCGGUUAAAAAAAAACAUACCGGUAAAAAUUAUUGAGACACGGCAGUAACACGCUAGCGCAGUGCUAACAGGGCUGGACCGGUAAAAGUCACUUCCUCGGCACAUAUAAUCCACCGGUCUCACUCUACCUGUCAACUUGUACGGUUUAGCCGUAGUUCAUACGGAUUUUGUGGUGAAUCUUAAGUAUGCGGCCGUAUAUCACAAAUCAUACGGAUUCUGAACAAAUUCCGUUCUCCCUAAAAAAGUUCCUGUGGUUUCGCCACACUUUUUCGUCGCGGUCGGUCGAGCUCACUAGCGGAGUGUUUGCGGUCGACUUUCUGGUGUUCUGGCUCGCACGACGGCAGUGUUCACCUUCCUCCUCCUCCAAAGUGCUUCCUCAAAAUAGCCGAUAACGCAUUUUUCCUCCCCACAGUGUCAUCAGGAGUCCGCCGUGAGUUUGGGUACGUUAGCGUGACACCUUGAGUUGUGUUACCUCUCUUACGGGCAAUACAGGUCUGACAGGUCUCUCUUACAGUAAUGGGAUGCAGAGUGAUGACUCAGCGAUACUUCACCUCGUAGAGAUAAUCGAAGAGUUCGAGGAUGGUGAGGAUGCUGGCCCCGAUGAAGAGGCCCAUCUGACCUCCGAUGUCAC